rnacentral:rRNA from 1 species
UAGAGUUUGAUCCUGGCUCAGGAUGAACGCUAGCGGCAGGCCUAACACAUGCAAGUCGAGCGGUAGGGGGCUUCGGCCCCCGAGAGCGGCGCACGGGUGCGUAACGCGUAUGCAACCUACCUGUAAGCGGGGAAUAACCCGGAGAAAUUCGGACUAAUACCGCAUAAAACUGUAUAUUCGCAUGGAUAAACAGUUAAACAUUUAUGGCUAACAGAUGGGCAUGCGUAUGAUUAGAUAGUUGGUGAGGUAACGGCUCACCAAGUCAACGAUCAUUAGGGGUUCUGAGAGGAAGGUCCCCCACACUGGUACUGAGACACGGACCAGACUCCUACGGGAGGCAGCAGUGAGGAAUAUUGGUCAAUGGGCGAGAGCCUGAACCAGCCAAGUCGCGUGAAGGAAGAAGGUUCUAUGGAUUGUAAACUUCUUUUGUAAGGGAAUAAAAAGAGUUACGUGUAACUUAUUGUAUGUACUUUACGAAUAAGGAUCGGCUAACUCCGUGCCAGCAGCCGCGGUAAUA